rnacentral:rRNA from 1 species
CAGUCGCCACGGUAAUACGAAGGGUGCAAGCGUUAAUCGGAAUUACUGGGCGUAAAGCGUGCGCAGGCGGUUCUAUAAGACAGAUGUGAAAUCCCCGGGCUCAACCUGGGAACUGCAUUUGUGACUGUAGAGCUGGAGUGCGGCAGAGGGGGAUGGAAUUCCGCGUGUAGCAGUGAAAUGCGUAGAUAUGCGGAGGAACACCGAUGGCGAAGGCAAUCCCCUGGGCCUGCACUGACGCUCAUGCACGAAAGCGUGGGGAGCAAACAGGAUUAGAUACCCGUGUAGUCCCUGUCUCUUAUAC